UAACACAUGCAAGUCGAGCGCGAAAAGCCUUCGGGCUGAGUAAAGCGGCGGACGGGUGAGUAACGCGUAGGAAUCUACCUGGCAGUGGGGGACAACUUGGGGAAACUCAAGCUAAUACCGCAUACGCCCUAAGGGGGAAAGCGGGGGACCUUCGGGCCUCGCGCUAUCGGAUGAGCCUGCGUAGGAUUAGCUAGUUGGUGGGGUAAAGGCCCACCAAGGCGACGAUCCUUAGCUGGUCUGAGAGGAUGAUCAGCCACACUGGAACUGAGACACGGUCCAGACUCCUACGGGAGGCAGCAGUGGGGAAUAUUGCGCAAUGGGCGAAAGCCUGACGCAGCCAUGCCGCGUGUGUGAAGAAGGCCUUAGGGUUGUAAAGCACUUUCAAUUGGGAAGAAAAGUUUGUCGUUCAUAGCGCCAAGCUCUGACAUUACCUUUAGAAGAAGCACCGGCUAACUCCGUGCCAGCAGCCGCGGUAAUACGGAGGGUGCGAGCGUUAAUCGGAAUUACUGGGCGUAAAGCGCGCGUAGGCGGUUUGUUAAGUCAGCUGUGAAAGCCCCGGGCUCAACCUGGGAACUGCAGUUGAUACUGGCCGACUAGAGUACGAGAGAGGGAGGUAGAAUUCCAUGUGUAGCGGUGAAAUGCGUAGAUAUAUGGAGGAAUACCAGUGGCGAAGGCGGCCUCCUGGCUCGAUACUGACGCUGAGGUGCGAAAGCGUGGGGAUCAAACAGGAUUAGAUACCCUGGUAGUCCACGCCGUAAACGAUGUCUACUAGCCGUUGGGAGACUUGAUUUCUUAGUGGCGCAGCUAACGCAAUAAGUAGACCGCCUGGGGAGUACGGCCGCAAGGUUAAAACUCAAAUGAAUUGACGGGGGCCCGCACAAGCGGUGGAGCAUGUGGUUUAAUUCGAUGCAACGCGAAGAACCUUACCAGGUCUUGACAUCCUGCGAAUUUUCUAGAGAUAGAUUAGUGCCUUCGGGAACGCAGUGACAGGUGCUGCAUGGCUGUCGUCAGCUCGUGUCGUGAGAUGUUGGGUUAAGUCCCGUAACGAGCGCAACCCUUGUCCUUAGUUGCCAGCACAUAAUGGUGGGAACUCUAAGGAGACUGCCGGUGACAAACCGGAGGAAGGUGGGGACGACGUCAAGUCAUCAUGGCCCUUACGACCUGGGCUACACACGUGCUACAAUGGAACGCACAGAGGGCUGCAAAGGCGCGAGCUGGAGCGAAUCCCACAAAACGUUUCGUAGUCCGGAUUGGAGUCUGCAACUCGACUCCAUGAAGUCGGAAUCGCUAGUAAUCGUGAAUCAGAAUGUCACGGUGAAUACGUUCCCGGGCCUUGUACACACCGCCCGUCACACCAUGGGAGUGGGUUGCAAAAGAAGUGGGUAGACUAACCUUCGGGAGGUCGCUCACCACUUUGUGAUUCAUGACUGGGGUG
rnacentral:rRNA from 1 species